rnacentral:rRNA from 1 species
GACGAACGCUGGCGGCGUGCUUAACACAUGCAAGUCGAGCGGUAAGGCCCUUCGGGGGUACACGAGCGGCGAACGGGUGAGUAACACGUGGGUGACCUGCCCUCAGCUCUGGGGAUAAAGGCCUGGGAAACCGGGUCUAAUACCGGAUAUGACUCCAUGACGCAUGUUGUGGGUGGAAAGCCUUGUGCGGCUGAGGAUGGGCCC